ensembl:lncRNA
AAUCCUUUUUCACUCAGAAUUUUCUUCUUAACCAUUCCUACUGGUUAAUGAUUAAUUAAAUUAUUAUUAAAUCCUAAAAUGAUUAAAAUAUACCAAAUGAAAGAGAACAAUUUUCAAAACAUAAAUGUUCCUUAGCUGUUUGACACUUUUGUUUGUUAGAUGUUACAAGGCAGGACUGAAAAACAAGGAGCUCAAUCUAAGAUCCAGAAUCAUUUAUCUAGUAGAACGUCUAUCAACUGAAUUCUCUGAAUUGGAUGGUUUAUACAUGCUGUAUAUUCAUAAAGAAUUUUUUAUUUAAGAGGAUAGAUCAUUUCAACUCUUUCCUUCUAUCUUUUUGAGUAAAAUUUUAUUAAAUCCUCUGGCAAAAUCAACGAAGAGGUGGCAUUGUAUUUUUGACAUGUCCAAGAUUAAAAUGCUCUAUAUAAUACAUUGAAGUACUAUAUUUGCCUUAUUAAAAUGAGAGAGAGAAAAAGAGAAAGAGAAAGCGAGACAGAGAGAACCCCCAUUUUUAAAGAUUAUUAUUUUAACAUGUUGCACCUGGACAGGGUAGUUAAAUUCACUUGAUCAUCCUGCAAUGGAAGAUUGACUGUUUGUAAAAGAAGUUUUCAGAGAAGUCACAGUGUAUUGUAUGCAUCUAUUGUGUAGAUCUUUUUGUCAAGCAAUUUUGUUGUGUGUUAGUGGAAGAUAUUAUGUUAGGAAUUAAAUUCAUCAACAGAUCUAAAUAUCUUCAUCCACUAGAAACAUAAUAUUUUACAGUUUUAUGUAAAAAUAAGAACCUCUAAAUAUGGGUAUAAAAAUAAUGAAAUCUAUAUGAAAUGAACAAAUGCCAUAUUUUCUUACCUAUAAUUCUGUCUAGAAAACUCAUGCAUUUUCCAAUAAGAAUUUCAUUGAAGUAAAAAUAAUUUGACAGAACUGUUCCAGAAAGCUAUAGACAGCAAUAUGGAAAACAAUCAUUAAAUUUAACAGCUGAUUAUUUUUGUUUUCAAUAAAAUAAUUGAAUUCUUAAUACUUGCAAUUAAGUCAUUAAGUCAUUACUAUGUCAUAAAUGCAUUUUAUAGGUUAUAGAUUACUAAAAAACAUAUUAGCACUGAAAUUGAGCUUUCACACAUCAAAUGAAAGCAAGAAAGAACUAGAUACCCAAGGGCCCAUUUUUGUCCGGACUGAAGUUAGUAGGAACACUGCCAAUGGGAACAUCGCCGGGCCCUUAAGAAGUCAAUAAAAGUUGCAUUCAAAUAUCACAUCUUCUACCACUGAAAUGUGUAACUAACCAAUUUACACAGCAAUAUUAAGCCAGAAAAAAUACAUCACUUCAGUCAAAAAAUGGACUCAAUUUUAUCCUUAUGAUAGGAUUAGUGUGUGAUCUCAUGGUCCCUUACUAUGUUUCUGAUUAGAUCUUCCCUACAUACGGCCUUUAUUUUGAAAUUCUUAAUGAGGCAAAACAUCCCACAAAAUCAGCAUGCUUAGUAAAGAAUUUUUCAAAUUCAUCUUUAGACUUCAAAUUAUUUAACUCGUGAUAAAAUAUUUAAUAAAUAAAGGGCUAAAUGGCAAUUACUUAAGGGGCAAAGUCUUAUGUCUUUGAAGAGCUGAGUCUAAAUGACUAAUGCAAUACUAAGACAAUAUAUCCAUAUGUAUUAGAAAUAAAUUAGCUAUGGUCAAAUUUUGCAUUCUUUGCUAACUUCCAUCUUUCUCAGCAAAGAAUCCAACCCAUUUAAAUAUUUUGUAUUGUGUAUAAUAACUAACUAAUAAAUAUUUUAUAAGACUUUACUGGGUAUCACAAUACUGUUGUCUUUUCAUAGACUUUCAAUAAACGUUUUUAUUGUCCUAUCUGUAACUAUUAUAGGAAAACUGAAAUACUUUUACUUUUACUUUUCCUCCUUCUCCUUCUUCCUUCUUCUCCCUUCUUCUUCUUCUUCUCCCUUCUCUUCUCCCUUCUUCUUCUUCUUCUCCCUUCUUUCUUCUUUCUCCUUUCUUCUUUCUCCUUUCUCCUUUCUUCUUCCUUCUUCCUUCUUCCUUCUUUCUUCUUCCUUCUUCCUUCUUCCUUCUUCCUUCUUUUUUCUUCUUUCUUCUUUCUUCUUUCUUCUUUCUUCUUUCUUCUUUCUUCUUUCUUCUUUCUUCUUUCUUCUUUCUUCUUUCUUCUUUCUUCUUUCUUCUUUCUUCUUUCUUCUUUCUUCUUUCUUCCUUCUUCUUUCUUCUUUCUUCCUUCUUCUUUCUUUUCUUCUUUCUUCUUUCUUCUUUUUCUUCUUCUUUUUCUUCUUUUUUUCUUAUAGCAUUGUCUCGCUUCAAUUUAUAGGAGGGAGAGGAGCUUCUUUGAUACAUGUAUAUCCAGCGUGAUAUUGAGAAACAACAGUUCAAAUGCUGGUCCGACCAACUUAUUACAAUUCUUAAUCAGGGAGAUGGGGAAGGGGAGGCUGGCGACUAUUACAAGUUAGGGUGAUGGGGAAGGGAAGGCGGGUGAUAGAAAAGAUAGGAAAGAAGCAAGAAUUGUGUAAAGUGGGGAUAGACAACACUAAGAUCCAGCAGCAUCCCAUUGCACACCGUUCUGAUGGUCUGAGGCAAAAGUGAAGGGGGAGAGCAGUAGCAGCAUGGCUGGCCUUACACAGCAAGCAGGUACCAGGAAGAAGGAGCAGUGUAAGUACAGGAGGAAGCAGCAGGUCUCAGGUAGCAGGCCCAGGAGAGAGUCCAUCAGCAUGCAGGCAUCAGCUCGUGAGGCUCCUGAUAUCAGACACCUAACUUCAUGAUUGUUGGUCCCAUUUUUAUCCUCUUCUGCCAACCUGGCAUUUCUGGGUGCUUGGGUAAGAGUCACGUGCAGUACCCCCUGAGAUGGCUCUCUCCCUCGAGAUAAGCCCACACAAAAGACUGCUUCCCGGUCAUUAAUCUGUGGCUUAUCUCUGUCCUUGCUCCAGGCUUGCAAGAUCUUCAGUAACCAGGACUUGCCUGGACUUGUCCAUCUGUGUCCCUCAGACAAAGGAUUUCUCAACCCUUGCCUGGGACGUAUCCAUCUGUGUUCCUCAGUAGGCUUUGAGACAAUGGUGCAAAAGAAUUAUCUCUUACAAGCAUUCAUAUAUUUUAGCUUAUUUACAGAAUAUAACACUUGAUAUUCUUAAGUUUAAUUAUUGUAUUGUAAUAAUAUAGAGUACACAAUAAAGUACAUAUUCUCAUGCAUGGUCAUAAUUGCAAACUAUAACAGUUAUUUUAUACUGUUUAAUUGUAUUUUGCAGAUUUCAAAAUGAUUGAGAACUAACUGCCUUUUAAGACUUGCUUUAAAAAGCUGUACUUGAAAAAAAAACAAGUGAUUGGUCAAGUAAUUUCACUUAACGGUAUUAACUUUGUUAUUGUAAGAGACUGCAAGCAAAUUUCUAAAGCUAAAGAAAAAAG